UAAUGUAGGUCGGCUCUUCAUUACUCAAAAUAUAACAAGAUGUACCAGUCCAAUAAGGCAGAGGGUGCACUACUUAUUAACUAUCGUAGUAUAUAAGGGAUCAUCCUAACCCAGGGGGUCCUGCCAAAUCCCCCCAAAUGCUCCUUUGAUCAUCUCAGAGAUCUGGAUGGUACAAGGGACACCUCGAAACAAUAUGUGAUAACGACAUGAUUGGGGACACGCGACAAACAAAGGACACCCGCGGUGGAGUGGUCAACACGCUAAUCCCCGGAUAGCGCUAAACAAACUGACCACUUAUCAAUGACCACGCCCCACCCAUCUGGACCUUUUGAUAUCCACUGUGUGAGAAAACGACACUAAAAUAAUUAGGUAGGCCAUGUUGGGUGGACCUAGUACGGUUCAGCACAGGGCUACAGUGGUUCAAAGUUCAAAUUACAUGUAGUAUACCACGCUCUACAAACCUUUCAUUAGCAUAUCCGUGCAGCUCACUCUAAAAGUUUCUUUGAGAAAAACAAAAUGCUUUCAAAUUAUGUCUUUCUUUUAUGGGAAACUUUGAACCUUUUGAUUAGAAAUGGAAUAACAUUUCUUUGGUGCUGUCUUUCUUGUGUUGAUCGUUUAGAUUUGAAGUUUGUGGUUUAACGGAAAACCAUUAUGUCACUUCGCAACUAUGCAAACUAUUCGGCUGAUUCAGAUUACACGUAGUGUUAUCACCAGCUUGUACCGGUGCUGGACAUUUACAAGAGUACAAAAUUGCACUUAUUUUUGCUUUCUUCUCCCCCCUUUCCCCUCUCUCGAUGAUGUGCUGAAACAUCCCGGAGUAACGUUAAAUCGUUCGAAGUCUAACGUUACAUUACAGGAUCAGGUAGUCUCUAUUUACUACUAAUUGAUGAUCGUAUUUACCGAAAUAACUUACUUGAAAACAGGACAUAAUGUAACUGUAAUAUUACGUCUUUCUGUGUUUUAUUUUCUUUCAGCUUUUGGAUGAUUGAAUACUGUGUUUUAUUCUGUUUCUGACCUUGUGUAGUGUAGUGUGAAGUCAUGGUGUGAAGUGUUUCCAAGACCUUGCCUAGAUAGAGAGCAAGUCGGAAUACAAAAGAAGAGGAUACGAAAAUAUAACUAUUCGUUGGCUUCAUCCUAACAAUAAAUUUCUACAUGUCUGACGACAUCUAGACGUUAAUGAACUUUAAAAUCUUACACGUCCGGACCCCAGACAGCACAGUUCACAGGUCCGGAACAGAACCAUUCCCAGAUUCUGGUCAGUCUCGCACUGCUGCAGACGACAGGUUCUGAGGCGGCGCGUGGUGCAGUAUGUGUAGAUGUGGGGAGCAUGCUGAUUCUAAAUUCGGUAAAUCAAUGUUUCUGGACCUUCGCCACCACGGCACUCGGUCGCAGUGCAGUUUUUAUUUCCUCCGCUUUUCAAGCUCUCCCGGCACGUUUUGCAAUUUGAGGGCGCGCGCUCAUGUUUGCUCCCUAAGCAGAUGAGUGACAGUCAGGCUCGCGCCAGCCAAUCAGAGCGCGCGACACGGGGAAGCCUCACCCACCUUCUCCUAAUAUGCCAUCAGUAGGGAGAAUUGACUGUCCGUCUGCGGCACAGUUGUCCUUUGCUCCAGUGACACUGUCGUUCCCAUGACGUUAUCCGCAACCGUCCGACUUUUCUUAAUCCUCAUAUGUCUCUGCUCCGUUUGAAACAGAACGGUGGUGAGAUCGCGGCCACGUUGGCUCGGAGAGAGGGAAAAUGUCUGGGGCUGCCCGGAGCGGACACGCGCUUUCUCACGUGUGCGUCGGGUUCAACUGUCUCGUGAACCGGCUGGGAGCACCAGGUCAUCAACUGCUGACUGUGGUCUGGCUCAAACCAAUGCUGGACACCGGUAUGUGUAAUAUUUCGUACAAGAUCAUGUCAGCGACGUUACACGGCGAGGGAGAAACCGUCAGGAGAGACCGAUAACUCGAAGAGAACCCGGACGAGGGGAGACUGCAGGAGAAUAGUCAUCACUUCUCCGCCAUAUAAGAGUACAUGGCAUUCUGCCAGCCGCGACCUGCCUGGGACGUGAAACGCAUAUGGGUGGGUUUACCACUAUGUUAUGGAAGGUACCAACUAAGAUUGUAGCCGGCACGUCACACCUUAACUUGCCCUUUGACGUGUACCCUCUUCUGGUGUCUAGAUUGUUCCCGGGACGGCUUAUAUUGACAUGCAAACCCAGCCGGUAGAGGACUUACCCGUAACUAGACUUCCCGCCGAUCGAAUGUAACUUCCCUAAUCUCCAGCGUUGGGCCGACGGACGGGACGUCUACCUGCCUGUACAAAAAGUUGGAGGGGUUGUCAUAUUCAUGUUUCUGCGAUCACGACGCGACGCACAGAAUGGCUCGUCUUUUUUGUCUAGAAGAAGGAGGAAGAAAUGGCGAAGGUUUCUCUUGUGUUGGCGGGACUUGUGUGGAGGAUAUUGCGGCGCACGUUGUGCGUUGCGGUGGCGGGGCGGGGCUGGACGCUGAGCGACACCAGACAGAACGUACGUGACUUGGCUGCGGCGGCGAACCGAGACAUUUAGUUCCUAUCAGCCGCUGCGAGAGGCUUACAGGGCCGGGGGACUGCACAUUUCACCCUGUUUUCAGCCAGAAAAAUAUCCCCCGCACCUCGCGUUCCACUGUGAGAUGGCUAUCGUUCAGGUUCAUUUUCUAACCUUGCUGCUUUUCGUCAUUCUAGUCACGUAGAGAGGAAUGGUAACCGCCAUCAACAUGGUGAGUCUAGAAUCGCUGCAAUUCGUGAGUUUUCACGCCUAUCUUCGAGCCGGACACUCUUACUUCUUAAGUCGGACGAUCCUCCAAGGAACCAAGAACGUACAAAAAAGGUGGGCCCGGCUGAUUUUUCCCCUAUUACUUAAUGAGACGUGCACAGCUGACGGGGAGUUUCAAGCGUCCCAGGAUUUAUGGUACGGACAUUUGCUGGGCAGGUUCAAGUAUGAAACUAUCGCAAGUAUUCGGUCUGUCGUCUAGCGCUCAGACGGCGACAGGCGCCUUCUCCUUCAAUCCUGCAAGGAAAAUCCACCCUCCCAAGAAGGAGGGAACCCAGAAGGUACGUCUUGGGAGGGUCUUGAGAUGCACACGAACAUGAAACGAUCAAUGGCUGCCUGGAUAGUCCGAGAUGGCCGCAUGGUGGUCUGUCUGCAAGGACCCGCUCCAAAAUGGCCAGGGCGAAAAACUAGGUCUUGUUCUCCUCUGUGAGUCACUCCUAAGCCAUGCAGGUCACCAGAGGGCCAGGUGAACCCAGUGGUACAGACACCUGUACAGCCACCAAACUCUGGGGGCCCUGCUCUCAGGGGAUGGUAGCCUGGAUCUCCAGUCAGCAAAGGGAAAGCCGCCCCAUCCUGUCCUCAGAUAAAGCCGGCUGCCAUAAACCCGUAGAUCCGAACUUGUGUUGCUUCAGUUCACAAGCUCGUGUCUAUGGGUCUAUGUCAUCAGGGCAACAUCUGCACGUGCAGUAAGUACACACCACAGCUCUCUGUACCCCUCACAGAUAGCUCAAAUUCUGGAGAAAACCUAUUUUUUCAUUUUUUUGUUGUUUUUAACAACUGCCAUUCCCCCAGCUUGAUGGUGACCCUGCCCUGUGCAGUUACAGGCAUCGGCUUGACUUCUGUAUGGCCCUGAGGUGAGGUAGUAGGUUGUAUAGUUCAGAAGUACAACAUUGGAGAUGACUGUACAACCCGUUACCUUUUUUCGGGUCAUACCACGCUUCUGGACCUCUUGAGUCGCCAUCAACGUUUGUUCGACUUUCUUUGUUGCCAUAGAUGCCAGAUUGUUUGUCUGUACCCCCUUGUUUUUUUUGUGUAAGAUGAUGUAGUGAUUUUGCAUGCUGCCACAUGCCUUAGAUUUGCUCAAAACAACAUCUUAAUUGGUCUUAAUUACACAAAUAGAAUCAAGAAAUAGGAGAAAAAAAAGCACAUCCGAUACAAUUUAGUACUUCCACACACUGAUGUAAGUAUAUGCAUCAUAUGUUGUCUUAACAGAAAAAUACACAUGGUUUUCAGCACUAGCAUAUAUACAUAUUUUUAAUUGUCUUGGUGGCACAUAGAAAAUAGUAAGUUGUUGUUUUGUAAUAUAAAUAUUUUCCUGGACGUACUUCUAAAACUUGUGCUUUCACAUUUAACUGCCAUUCUUUUUUCUCAAAACUUGCAUGGACAUUCUACACUCAGAUGAAUCAAGAUAGGCUCUAAAUUAAUGUCUGUUGGAAGCAAGCGUCUAGUUUUGCUGAGGAGCAUUCUGGUAGUUGUAAUUAUAGAGGUGCUCAAGCAAACCACCUAACAUGUAAUUGUUGCACACAUAUUUUCCAGUCUAUUCUCAUGUACUUGUGCCACAUUAUUGUAAUGUUAGACUUACAAAAGGAGGCAGAAAUGAUUAGUUUUCCAGCAGUUGUCUAGCCCUAGUCUGAGGUGCAAAGUGUUUGCAUCCAUUUUUGCAAACGGAGUGCCACAUAUAGAAGCAGUUGGCAUGGUUGUUACAGGGCAGUAUGCUGGGGGGCAGGGGAGAUCACCAGGUCAGCCGUACAGUCUGGUGGAAAUGAAAGAGGAUAAGUGACACAUGACAGCUAGCCAAGCAGAUAGACACAACUACUACCCCUCGUUCUGGUCUUACAUCCAAGCAUGUAGUGCUUCUCCAGCUGCAUUGUCUACGCCAUGGUGCUGUGGUUGAUGCAAAAUUAAAGUUAUUUUUGGCACCUGAGGAAAAGUUUUGAACUCCUUCUGCAAAUGAAACAUGUUGGCAUUUCUCUGCCACUUGAUUGAAGUCUUGCCAGGGGGUGUGUUUUGGUGUGGACAAAAGACAGAGAAGAACCAUUUCACAAUCACAGCAGAGUAAUCGUAUUGCAGUUAUUCAGUGCUGUAAGUAACACUACUAAUCCAUGUAACAAGC